rnacentral:rRNA from 1 species
UACGUAGGGUGCGAGCGUUGUCCGGAAUUAUUGGGCGUAAAGAGCUCGUAGGCGGUCUGUCGCGUCGAUCGUGAAAACUUGGGGCUUAACCCUGAGCUUGCGGUCGAUACGGGCAUGACUGGAGUUCGGCAGGGGAGACUGGAAUUCCUGGUGUAGCAGUGAAAUGCGCAGAUAUCAGGAGGAACACCGGUGGCGAAGGCGGGUCUCUGGGCCGAUACUGACGCUGAGGAGCGAAAGCGUGGGGAGCGAACAGG